GCUCAGGAUGAACGCUAGCUACAGGCUUAACACAUGCAAGUCGAGGGGUAGCAGGGUAGCAAUACCGCUGACGACCGGCGCACGGGUGAGUAACACGUAUCCAACCUUCCCAUAACUCAGGGAUAGCCUUUCGAAAGAAAGAUUAAUACCUGAUAGUACUUAAGAAAGGCAUCUUUUUUAAGUUAAAGAUUUAUUGGUUAUGGAUGGGGAUGCGUUCCAUUAGAUAGUUGGUGAGGUAACGGCUCACCAAGUCUUCGAUGGAUAGGGGUUCUGAGAGGAAGGUCCCCCACAUUGGUACUGAGACACGGACCAAACUCCUACGGGAGGCAGCAGUGAGGAAUAUUGGUCAAUGGGCGAGAGCCUGAACCAGCCAAGUAGCGUGAA
rnacentral:rRNA from 1 species